AGCUGUGAUCUCAAGCCCCCAC
rnacentral:miRNA from 1 species